GCUAUCUUAGCUCAGUUGGUAGAGCACAUCCUUGGUAAGGAUGAGGUCGUCAGUUCAAAUCUGAUAGAUAGCUCCA
rnacentral:tRNA from 2 species